rnacentral:rRNA from 1 species
UACAGAGGCCUCGAGCGUUAGGCGGAAUCACUGGGCUUAAAGCGUGUGUAGGUGGAUGCCUAAGUACCUUGUGAAAUCCCACGGCUUAACCGUGGAACUGCUGGGUAUACUGGGUGUCUUGAGCCACUCAGGGGCUACCGGAACAAACGGUGGAGCGGUGAAAUGCGUAGAUAUCGGGAGGAACACCGGUGGCGAAGGCGGUUCUCUGGGCCUUACCUGACGCUGAGGAGCGAAAGCGUGGGGAGCGAACAGG